rnacentral:rRNA from 1 species
UACAGAGGUCCCGAGCGUUGUUCGGAUUCAUUGGGCGUAAAGGGUGCGUAGGCGGCAGAGUAAGUUGGAUGUGAAAUCCUGGGGCUCAACCUCAGAAUUGCAUUCAAUACUGCUUUGCUAGAGAGCUGUAGAGGAGACUGGAAUUUACGGUGUAGCAGUGAAAUGCGUAGAUAUCGUAAGGAACGCCAGUGGCGAAAGCGAGUCUCUGGGCAGCAUCUGACGCUGAGGCACGAAGGCCAGGGGAGCAAACGGG